UCUGUUAGGCACUGAGAAGAGGUUUCUGCUGCUCCGGUUCUGUGGCUGACUGAGGACUGCCGGCCUGCAGCACUGCACGGAGAAGAGAACAGGUUAGAGGAGGCUGCUCCAGACGUCUCUCUAUGCAUAAUCAGAGAUUCACCGCUGCGCCAUUCUCCUCUCCUCCUCCUGCUGCUGCUGCUCCUGUUGGUUCCAGCGUGUAUUAUUUUUAAUACUGAUGCAUAUGUAAAGGCGGGCAAAUUCCUAACACCUUUUCUUAACUGAGGCUAGGAGCACCACUGCAUUUGUGUGCUGGCCAGCAGCCUCACAGAGCCAGAGGACGGGAGUGAAAACGCCAGUGAUCCUGCACAGGGAGAAGAGAUUUCACAGCAACUUAGCAAGCAAACAAGACAAAAGUUAAAGAGUGAUGGCACUAUACCUUGCCCCCGGUCACUCAGACGUGCGCUUCCCAUUUUGUACAUGAUGAAGAGUUUUGGAAACUACGUCGGAGUCCAAUGGAUCGUUUUGUUUGUGGAAUCAAAGCUCACCAAAGAGUGAAACAAGCCACUGGAUAUCCUUGAAUGCAGUAUUUUGUAUCUUGGUCACUGAUUUAGCCCAUAAGCGUGUAAAAAUUCACUGGGGCUAUUGUAUAAAAUCUAUACAGCUGAGCAGA